UACGUAGGCAGCAAGCGUUGUUCGGAGUUACUGGGCGUAAAGAGUCUGUAGGCGGCCUGGCGUGUCCGCACGUUCAAUCUCCCGGCUCAACCGGGAGCCGCGGCGGAAACUGCCAGCGCUGGAGCGCGGGAGAGGAAAGCGGAAUUCCGGGUGUAGCGGUGAAAUGCGUAGAGAUCCGGAGGAACACCAGUGGUGAAGACGGCUUUCUGGACCGUGGCUGACGCUGAGAGACGAAAGCGUGGGGAGCAAACAGG
rnacentral:rRNA from 1 species